rnacentral:rRNA from 1 species
AACCCUUGCCAUCAGUGCUACGAAAGGGCACUCUGAUGGGACUGCCGGUGACAAACCGGAGGAAGUGGGGAUGACGUCAAGUCCUCAUGGCCCUUAUAGGUGGGCUACACACGUCAUACAAUGGCCGGUACAAAGGGCAGCCAACCCGCGAGGGGGAGCCAAAUCCCAUAAAGCCGGUCGUAGUCCGGAUCGCAGUCUGCAACUCGACUGCGUGAAGUCGGAAUCGCUAGUAAUCGUGGAUCAGUAUGUCACGGUGAAUACGUUCCCGGGUCUU